GAGAUUUGGAACUUUUCCAAAUGUUGUGAUAAGUAGCGUUCAGCUCAAAAAGCACAACGUGUUUCAAAUGUAUAUUUGUCAAAGACAGAACGCCACCAAAUAAAGUUCAACACAGUUUAUUAAAGUUACAGAACUAAAAAGUGCCCGUAAGAAACAAAGGACUAGGCAAACACUUGCAUUCAAUGUGAAAAGAUACAAAAAGACUCCGCUGGUACUAAAAACGGUUCAAAAGAUAAACCGGAUUAAACAGGAGUUUAAUCCGGGUUAAAUCAAAAAUGCUUACUUCAGCCUGGCAGUUUAAACAAACAAAAGUUGAUAAACAAAGAUUCAAUAUAACACAAAUAACUGGCAGCAGAUUCCUCUCUGCUACUCAAAAGCUACAAUUGAGUAACUAAGGUUGUUACUCCUCCAUGCAACAAGCGAAAACCGGGUCCAGGCACAUCAAUCAGGGUAGCAACGGUCAGCAGGGUCCCAAUCCGGUCCAAGGUCGAAAGCCAGGUACAGACGUCUUUAGUUCACAAGUUCCACCGAUAGCCACAGAAAGGAUAGUCCGAGGUCGUAGUCAGUCAGUCAGUCCAGCGUCAAUCCAGAGUAGGCAAUUAAUGUCCGUCAAAAAGACGACGGAGGUCCAAGGUCGAAAGCCAGGUACAGACGUCUUUAGUUCACAAGUUCCACCGAUAGCCACAGAAGGGAUAGUCCGAGGUCGUAGUCAGUCAGUCAGUCCAGCGUCAAUCCAGAGUAGGCAAUUAAUGUCCGUCAAAAAGACGACGGAGGUCCAAGGUAUUCAGCAAACGAAUCACACCCGUCUUCAGGAAGUUCCCCAACAACUGCCCAAGCGUUCGUCCAGAUUACCUUGCCCAACGCAAUUAGCCAUUGAUUCUAGACCCCAUUUUAUGCCAGUUCAUAACUCCUCAUCGCUGUCAGCUGCUAUCCUAAUUCCAGGUGCCUCAUCAUCCUCAUCCUCAUCAGAGCUAAAACACCUUUGACUACGCCCCACAGCAUCCCCAGCUGUGGAUCCCGUUCCAUCCCUCCAGCCCGUCCACGGGUCCGAUCCUGCAACCCGCCAGUCGCCUCCCAUGCUAUCAUUGCCAGCGACACCCAAAUCCUCCCUCACACGAGUCCAUUCCAUGUCAUCCUCCUCUGAGCUAACCAUCUCUUCCUCCAUUCCCUCGGUAAAACCCUCAAAGGAGUCUUCGUCUGUUGGUUCUGCAAAUAAGUCCCGGAGCCGUUUCCUUUCGCGCUCCUCAAGAGAGUCUGACUCUCGAGGAGUCUUACGACCUCGUCUCCUAGUAUCGGAGCCAGAAGGCUCAACCAUAA
rnacentral:lncRNA from 1 species